rnacentral:rRNA from 1 species
GGAGUUUGGACCGUGUCUCAGUUCCAAUGUGGGGGACCUUCCUCUCAGAACCCCUACUGAUCGAUGGCUUGGUGGGCCGUUACCCCGCCAACAACCUAAUCAGACGCAUCCCCAUCCCAUAGCGGUGAACCUUUGUUCCAAAUUAGAUGUCUGCUUCGGAAAACAUAGGGUAUUAAUCCGCAUUUCUACGGGCUAUGCCCUACUAUGGGGAAGGUUGGAUACGCGUUACUCACCCGUGCGCCGGUCGCCAUCGGCCUUAGCAAGCUAAGACCAUGCUGCCCCUCGACUUGCAUGUGUUAAGCCUGUAGCUAGCGUUCAUC